GACGAACGCUGGCGGCGUGCCUAAUACAUGCAAGUCGAACGCAGUGGGGACGGGUGAGUAACACGUGGGUAACCUCCCAUCAGAGGGGAUAACACUUGGAAACAGGUGCUAAACCGAUACUGAUGGAUGGACCCGCGGUGCAUUAGCUAGUUGGUGAGGUAACGGCUCACCAAGGCCACGAUACAUAACGGAACUGGGAGGGUGAUCGGCAACACUGGGACUGAAACCAGGCCCAGACUCCGACGGAAGGAAGCUGUUGGGAAUCUUCGGCAAUGGACGAAAGUCUGACCGAGCAACGACGCGUGAGUGAAGAAGUUUUUCGGAUCGUAAAGCUCUGUUGUUAGAGAAGCGGUAACUAACCAGAAAGCCACGGCUAACUACGUGCCAGCAGCCGCGGUAAUUG
rnacentral:rRNA from 1 species